rnacentral:lncRNA from 1 species
GGACCAAAGAUCCCAAAGAGCCCACAGAAUGGUUGGGUGGGAGCCACUGGACAAGCAAGCUUGGUGGCCAGGGGGAGGUGGUGACCAGAAAGCAGAAUGCUCUACCAGGUGAUCUUUGGGUGAUGGCAGAUUUUCAGAUGACUGGCUGAGGUGGGAAGGUGCUAAUGGGUCUGGGGGUAGUAAGAGUGACCCAUGGAGUCAAUAGUCUCACCCAGGACAGUGCGUGGACUGGGAAAGGGAAGAAUGUCUAUGGGCAGAUGACAAAGGCUUCACUGCGGCAUGAGAAGAGUGGCUGGUGAUGAGGGGAGGAUGCAGCCUGAUUUUAUGAGAUUUGGAGAACAACAGUGUUUUAGAGAAGAAAUUAUAUUCCCUUGCAUCUGAAGUACAUUCUCCACAGUGAAAGUUCAGGAAAGAAAAUGGAAGGAGUCUUAAGAGGUAAUAGACACGGCACAGGGUCAGAAGUUAGGAGACUCAUAUGUAGUCCUGAUGAGACUAUCAUACUGUGUGACCUUGGGCAAGUCUUUUCCCCUGCUUGAGUCUCAGAUUUCUCAUCAAUAAAGACAGUUAGGGGGUUGGCUAAGCUAAACCUUUCCAACUGAUGUUAGGGAGCCAUGAAUAGGUUCAGGUGUGCUGAGAUAUUAACACCCAGCCCCCCCACAGCCCUUGGGUCAGAGUCCCUGAGUCGACAUCUGUUUACAUGUGCUAUAACGCAAGAAGGUGGGGGAAGCGUGGGCCAGACACUCUCCAGGGCCCCAGCCAUGUCUGACAUUCCGUUUUGCCCAUCUCCGCUGCUCAGUCUUGGAGGGGGCUUUGGGGAGGCUGUAGAAGAACAGACAGGCUCCUGCUGCAGGCACAGGUCCAUGUGCUGGCAGAGAUGGGAGCCAGGUCUCCUAGCUGCCCCCUGCUGCUCUCGCCUCUGGCCCAGCACCAGCCGAGGGAGUCGUGACGUGCUCAGGUGCCCAGGUGAGGGUAGGUGCAUCAGCCUCUCUUCUGUCUGGUGGCUGGGUGGUCCCUGAUGGCCCCCUCAAGCUUCAGCAGUGGCUUACAAAAGUGGAGGAGCAGCCUCCCACUGGCUCCUUCACCCACUUUCCAGUUGCAAAAACAGACUCACUGUUUCUGAGGAGUCAGGCAGCAGGUCUCUCUGCACAGGCCCAGACAGAGCCUUCACAAAGCCUUCACCUUUCUCCUGGGGCCAGCCACUUCUCAGAAAUCCAUGGACGGUCCACUUCUGUGGUUGACUUUGGACUACCCUCUCUCUCCUUCCAUCUCCUGCCAGGUGCGCUAUGCUUAGAGAAGGUACACACGGCCUAAUUCCACCCUAAUCAUAAAAUAUCAGGAAAGACCCAGCGCUUGACCUAGCACUUUGUACACAGUAGAUAAUAAAUAUUUACUGAAUAAAUGAAGACUAUGCUCAAAUAUUUAAAAAAAGAAAACCCUACCAAGCCCAAUGGGAUUUUUAAAAUUAUUGAUCACAUUGCUCCUGCUUAUUUGUGUAGAUAAAAGAUCACUUUUAAAAUUCUUCAGUAUUUACUGGUGCUUACUAGAUGCCAUGCAUUUUACAAGUCUGAGCUGAUUUCCUUUCCAGAAUCCCAUUUUACAGAUAAGCACUCCAAGGCUCAAAAUGAGGUUAAGAAACCUGUCCGAGGUCAUAGAGCUGGUAAGCAGUGGCCACAGGAUCCUAACCCAACUUUAGAAACCGUGAGCUUUGCGGCGCACCAGGCUGCCUCUAAGGAUACACAGAACAGAGUGGAGAGAGACGGGACUAAAGGGGGAGGCAGAGAAGUGUGCAGGGGGGCGGUAGCAACGCAGUCGGGGGCUCCCUACCGCCUUAGCCCUGGGAACUGCUUUUGAGGUUGGGACAAGUUUUGCUGAAGAAAAGUGACAAGUGUCAGGCCCUCGCUCAUCUCGCCCCCUUUGAUUGCUGGGCCGGCCUACCUGUGCAAUCUGGCGUUUCAUUGGGCGCUGCCGGCUUGCGUCUCUGUCCUGGCAACCAGCCUUCCCUGCUUCCCUCCCCAGGGCAGUGACUAGGGGCCCAGGGAGCAGGCAGGGGAGCGGCAGGAAACCCAAGCGCUCUGACCUGCCAGGGAUGAACUGGGCUGUUGCCUGCCCCCCACGCCUGUCCCCGCUGCCUGACAGGUGAGCAGCUGUGCUCUACAUCUGUCUGUACAUCUGUCUCCCUCCCAGGGGCCCGGAGAGAGCUGAUGCUCCCGAGACAGGAGGCCCUGGAUCUCCCUUACUCCAGAGAUUAAUCGACAGGAACUAGAAGGGCGGGGCGGGAUGAAGUGUGCCUCUUUCCCGCCACCUCCCGCCACCCCCCACCCCCCACCUCACCAGCUCCCCCAGCUCUGCCUGCCAAGCUCUGCAAAUUACCACACAUGCCAAUAAGUCAUUAGAAACCAGACCGGCAAAUGCAGGGUUGCCAUGGUGACCGAUACCAGGCGCGGGCAGCCCUGGCCGACCCGUGGCUCAGGUGUGCCUGGGGAGAGCCGGGAGGGCCCAUAGGCCUGAUGGAGGCAAGGGAAGGUGCUCUGCUGUCAGGGUGCGGAUUCUGGGCCCUUCCCCCUCCGGGGCCAGCCCUGCUGCCUGCCGAGAGCUGGGGUGAUGGGGUGAAAGCGCGGCAGGGCUGCAGGAGGGCACCGGGAGGGCACCGGGAGGGCAGGUGUGCCGGGCGGGCCGGGCCGAGCCGAGCCUCCACCUGAGGAGGAGGGCGCAGUGAUAAGGCCCAGCAGCUGGGGUGGGCCUGGGCCCGAGCCGACAGCCUGGCUUUGGAGGAACAGCUCAGGGGCGGGCUGAGGGCAGGGCCAGCGCUCAUGCCACACUCUCCACUCUCCCGUUUUCCUGAGCUCAGAACUCACUCUUGCUUCCGCGGCGCCUAGCGAAGCACCGGGCCUUUGUAGGUAAAGACACACACGCAGCGUUGGUUGAAAAUGGAGAGCGAUGAGCGAAGGCUUGUAAGCACCCGAGAUUUCAGACAAGACAGGAGCGGCCCCGCUCUUUCACUAGCUCAGUGUGGUCUCCGACACAGCCCCUUCUCUCGGGCCUCAGUUCCAUCAGCUGGAAAAUAACGGAUCACGUCUCACACAUUGUGCAUCUCCAAGCACACUCCCCAGAGCUGGCGAGUCGCGCAGGGGCUCCUCUGAAGUUCUGGGCCAGGAGGAGGCCGAGGCCGUGGGGUUCGGGUCCACCGGCUGGGCUCUACCUGCAGCAGCUUUCUUAUCAAUCCCCUGCUGCUGCUGUAACGUCUUACCACAAAAUUAGUGGCUUCGGACAACCAAUUUGUCAUCUCAUGGUUCAGAAGCCAGAAGUCCAAAAUGGGUCUCACUGGGCUAAAACCAGAGUGUCCGUAGAGCUGUGCUCCUCCUGGAGGCUCUAAGGGGAGAAUCCGCUUCCUUGUCUUUCCCAGCACAUUCCCUGCCCACAUUCCUUGGCUCGCGGCCCCUUCCAUCUUCUCAAGAUGUUAGUCUCCUCAAGUCUUCCUCAUGCCUCAUUGCUCUAACAAUGCCUUCUGCCUCCCUCUUCCACAUCGAAAGGACCCUUGUGAUUGAUUACAUUGGACCUACCUGGAUAAUUCACGAUAAUCUACUUGAAGGGCAGCUGACUAGCAACCUUAAUUCCUUUCACCUGCAACCUUAAUACCCUUUGCCAUGUAACAAUCAUAAGUUCUGGGGAUUCACAGGCAAACAUCUUUGGGAGGCCAUUAAUCUGCCGACCACACGUUAUACAGUUGACCUUUAGACAACAGAGUGCAAUGCACUGACCCCCCCCCCAUCCUCAGUUGAAAGUCCGUGUAUAAUUUUUGACUCCCCAAAAUCUUAAACACUGAGCUACUAAUAGCCUAUCGCUGACCUUCCAGAAGCCUUUCUGAUACCAUAAAGUGUUGAUUAACACAUACUUUGCACAUUAUAUGCAUUAUAUACUGUAUUCUUAAAGUAAGCUAGAGAAAAGAUGUUAAGAAAGUCAAAAGGGAGGGAUGCCUGGGUGGCUUAGUCAGUUAAGCAUCUGAUGCUUAAUUUCAGGAUCGUGAGUUCAAGCCCUGUGUUGGGCUCCAUGCUGGGUGUGAAGCCUACUUUAAAAAAAUCAAAAGGAAGAAAGAAUACAUUUACAGCACCGUGCUGUAUUUAUUGAUAUCAUAAUUUAAGUCCUCUGUUUAGAAGAUAAAUCAUCUGUCAGAACCUAUAUUGAUAC